UCUUUGUUCCUGGUUUCUUUGAAGAUCUUCUCUUGGCUUUUGAUGGUCCACAGUUUUAUUAUCAUGUAUUCUUCAGAUGCACCAUCACAUGUCCAGAAAGAACAAUGCCAUGGCGAGGUACUCAGAGCUGAGGGAGGAAGAUUGCUGCAGCCUGUGAGCUAAGCCGAAAGAAUAUGCCGGGCUUCUUUGGGAUCCGAUGUGGACUUGGUCCCGCUGCAGGGAGAGAAUGUACUGCUCAGGCCGACGUGAGGAUCCAAUCCACUCAACAGUUACAUGCCACGAUGUAAAUUAAUAAAUUCGCAUUCUGAUUUUAUCAUCUGCCUCAUCUGAGGUCUAUAGGCGUGAGUCAGCAUCCCCUAGUUUAAUCAACAUGGACACUGAGACUAUCAAGCUUUUGAGCUGAAAAGCUAAGA